AUCAUCCGGGGCUUGAUCGAUGAAAGGAGUUUUGCUUUACCUCAGGAGGGAGCCACGUUAGGGGAAAGCAAUUCUGACGUCCUGACAUUAUGAAAUAUUUAAUGAAGUUUACAGUUUUUUUAUGCUUUUCUUGCCUCAUUCGACCCAAAAAUCACCCCUUUGGCUUAAUUCGCAGAUUUUUUUUCUUGAUUAUCAAGUAUUUAUGGAUACAGUGUAUCCCGUGAGCAGUUUGUUUGCAGCACAAACGCAAGGAGUGCUGCAUGAAUUACAAAUGUAGAAAAUUGCUUUCUAAAUGAGUUACCUACAAUAUUUUUUGUAACCAAUAACUCAAAAACAGUGUCAGCAAGGGUAGCGAUACCAACCCAAUAAAUGUUGCGUCCUACCGAAGAUAACCAGAAAAUAACUGUUGAAGAGUUAUUUACAUUCUUGUAUGGUAACUUACACUUUAUAAGACGAAAUUAAUUAACAUUAAUAGCAUUAGUGUGCAACGAAAUCUUCCUUUAAAUAAGAUUAGUAUGAAAAUGAAGAUUUAAACGUUCUGAAUCCAGAUUUGCUUUCAGUUUUUUGCUGAAAUAGUACAGAUUUUUUAAAUGAUUUUUUAAUUUCUCACAAUAUAUUUUUUUUUGCUUCGUUAUUGUAUUUACUCUACUUUAAUCCAUUUAAAUCGUAUCUGUUUUGUAUAUUUGGGUGCGUAAUUUAAAAUAAUGUGGCGAAAAACGUAGAACUGUUAAUUACAAUUAUUACAUUUUAUUAUAAUGUUAUUAUCUUUUU